UAAACAAGAUAUGUUAUUUUGAUUUAUGUAAUUACUAUAAUCUCCUAUAAAUUAAUUUACAAACAAUUGAUUACUCUAAAAAGUGUAAGAUUUUAUUAAUUAAUAUUGUUCAACAAUCUUACAAGAUAUUGAUACAACUAAGAUUUAUUUAGAAGUUAUUGAAAUCAACGUUUCUUUAAGUUCAACCCAUUGUUUUUCUCAAAUGGGCUAAGAACAGUUUUUAAUGAUUAACUAAAUGGGUCACUUGCAUUGUAAAAUGUAUUUUGGUUUAAAAAUUGUUGAAUACCCAAAAUCAAUAUGAACCAUCAUCAAUUUCGUUUAAAAUUUUGUCACAAUAAAAAUAUAGGGUUGGACAAAAAAUCUGAAUCCAAAAAACCGGAACCAAGGACGAUCAAAAAAAAUAGUACUAAACUUUAACCAAAAUUGGUUAGAUAUCCGAAUGGGUUCAAAAUUAUAGUAUCUAGAUAACUGGAACUGAACCCGAUCCAAACCGAAAUAUUUUAGGUAUCCGAAUAUAUCCGAACAAGAUUUAUAUACUUAAAUAUAUUAAUUAUAUUUAAAUUUAAAAUCUAAAAGAAUAUACAAAAUAUAUAAGAUGUUUUUGAGUUGUCCAAAAUACUUGAAAAUAUAUACAAAUAGUUAUAAGUAGAUGUUUAAAAUAGCUAAACGAUACUUAUAACACCUAAAAUACUGAAAAUAUCUAUUGAUUUUUAUCUAAAUAUUACGCUAAACCAAUUUUUAUGUUAAGUUUAAGUAUUUUGGCAUACAUUAUUCAAAUUUAUAUGUUAUAUAUUAUUUUUAUUUUUGAUUUUUAAAAAUUUAAAGUAUAUAUGAACUUUAAUUUUUGAAAAAAAAUAAAUAUGUUAUCCAAACCCAAAUCUGAACCAAACCCGCAAAGAUCCGAACCGAACCAAACCCUCAAGGAUCCGAAUUGAACCAAAUGAUACUCGACUGUCCACUUCUAAUAAAAUAUAAAUAAGAUUAUUGAUAACAAAAUGUAUAUUGGGUAUAAUAUUUAAGUACAAUAUAUUGUUAAAAAUAUUCAUCCCAUGCGGGAGGCAUGUUAUCAUCUAGUUUUCUAAUUAUUGCAAGUUCACAUAAAAUAUUCAGGGUCGACUUUUUAAAAUUCAGUUUUGCGCAUACGUAAAGUCAUUUGGAAAUUAUAUAAACUGCUCGAUGAUUUGGAAUUUUGUAAAUACAAUUUCGAAAUGUAUUAACAAGGGAUUUCAUAAAAUAGGGAAGUUAGUUGCUUGCUUCUUGACGAGGAGAUACAUGUGACAGGACUUGGAUGGAUGAAAGUUGUCUAAACUAUCAUUUUCUUAUUAUCAUUUUUCAUGUUUAAUUUAAACACAUUUAUUUUUUAUUUUUAAUAGUAAAACUACUAUUAUACUCCUAAUUAAUUAAACUCAUUCAUAAUUUAUACUCUCCCGAGCUUUCUAAUUUCAAAUUUGACAAGCUUCCGGUUGCUGCACGGUUAUCAAAUCUGACGAGACCGGACAAGCUCUCCGAUGAACCUGAUGAACUAUCCGAAGAACUCUCCAACAAGCUCUUUGACGAGCUCUCCGACGAACCUGAAAAACCCGACGAGCUCUCCGGCGAACCUGAAAAACUUGACGAACUCUCUGACGAACAUGAAAAACUCUACGAACUUCGACGAACCGAACAAGAUCUCUCACGAACGCGCGUUAAACGUUAUAUUUGAUGACCGGAAUGUUCAAAGAGGGUCUAAGGGUUUCGUAUUAAGUGGUGAAGAAGGGAUUAUAUAUCAAAGAUAUCUCCUGCAUUGUGUUUUUGGUGGUGACGAAGAAACGCCAGAUAUUUGAUCUCUGUUUUGGACUUUUUAUGCAAGUGUUUGAUUUUGGAUUGAGGAUUACUGUUUCUUCGUUGAAGAUUGUUGUCGAAAGAUUAUACAGAAGAUGUAAAUUUGAGAAGAGUAGGAAGCUGGUAAAAUAAUUUUUUCCGGUAAAAUAGUUCUCUUGUAAAGGAAUGAUUAAACCUGAAGCUUACACUUACAACACCAUUAUCAAUGCUUAUGUUAAGAGAGAGACUUCUCUCGUGUAGAAGAGGUUUUGAAAGCGA